rnacentral:rRNA from 1 species
AACGAACGCUGGCGGCAUGCCUAACACAUGCAAGUCGAACGAGACCUUCGGGUCUAGUGGCGCACGGGUGCGUAACGCGUGGGAACCUGCCCUUAGGUUCGGAAUAACUCCCCGAAAGGGGUGCUAAUACCGGAUAAUGUCUUCGGACCAAAGAUUUAUCGCCUUUGGAUGGGCCCGCGUUGGAUUAGCUAGUUGGUAGGGUAAAAGCCUACCAAGGCGACGAUCCGUAGCUGGUCUGAGAGGAUGAGCAGCCACACUGGGACUGAGACACGGCCCAGACUCCUACGGGAUGCAGCAGUGGGGAAUAUUGGACAAUGGGCGAAAGCCUGAUCCAGCAAGGCCGCGUGAGUGAUGAAGGCCUUAGGGUUGUAAAGCUCUUUUACCCGGGAUGAUAAUGACAUUACCGGGAGAAUAAGCUCCGGCUAACUCCGUG